AAUGUCGUAACAAGGUUUCCGUAGGUGAACCUGCGGAAGGAUCAUUCUUCUGCUAGUUCAUAGUCAUUGUCUUGGGUCUGGCUGAGUUUCUGCAGUCCCUGACUACAUCCGUGUUUUUUGCGUACUACAUGUUUCCUCGGCGGGCUUGCUCGCCGGUCGGACAAACUAAAACUCUUUGCAAUUGCAAUCAGCGUCUGAAUUAUAUAAUAAUUACAA
rnacentral:misc_RNA from 1 species